rnacentral:ncRNA from 1 species
UAUACGUCGUGGUGAUCUCCCGAGACACACGACUGCCCUUCACUGUCAUCUCUUCAUCGUCCCACGACUCGGUAGAUGUGUUCUCACUUGCCUUUUGAAUUAGUUCCAGCUCAGCUGCAAGCACUGACGGAGUGAUGUGGUCCUCAAAGUACUUGGCAGCCCAGCUUCUCGUGGCUCGCGAGCAAUCAUCAUUCCACCAAGACCGCACCAUUGCAGGGAGACGAUGACUCGGUGAAAAAUUGGGACCGUGAGUCUGUUUGCUUUAUUGCGAGUGGAUUGAUGGGAACUUUUUUAAACCUCGCCAUUUAGAGGAAGGUGAAGUCGUAACAAGGUUUCCGUAGGUGAACCUGCGGAAGGAUCAUUA